GAUGAACGCUGGCGGCGUGCCUAAUACAUGCAAGUCGAGCGAACAGACGAGGAGCUUGCUCCUCUGACGUUAGCGGCGGACGGGUGAGUAACACGUGGAUAACCUACCUAUAAGACUGGGAUAACUUCGGGAAACCGGAGCUAAUACCGGAUAAUAUAUUGAACCGCAUGGUUCAAUAGUGAAAGACGGUUUUGCUGUCACUUAUAGAUGGAUCCGCGCCGCAUUAGCUAGUUGGUAAGGUAACGGCUUACCAAGGCAACGAUGCGUAGCCGACCUGAGAGGGUGAUAGGCCACACUGGAGGUGGAACAGCGUCCAGACUCCUACGAGAGGCAGCAGUAGGGAAUCUGCCGCAAUAGGGGAAAGCAUGACAGAGCAACGCCGCGUGAGUGAUGAAGAUCUUCGGAUCGUAAAGCUCUGUUAUUAGGGAUAAACAAAUGUGUCAGUAACUAUGCACGUCUUGACGGUACCUAAUCAGAAAGCCACGGCUAACUACGUG
rnacentral:rRNA from 1 species